GGUGUCGUGGUGUAGUUGGUUAUCAGGUCAGUCUAACACACUGAAGGUCUCCGGUUCGAGUCCGGGUGACUCCU
rnacentral:tRNA from 1 species